AUUCAUAGAAGCAGAAAGCAGAAUAAUGGUUACCAAGGGCUACAGGGUGAAACCAGCAUUUGAUAAAAAAUGAAAAUAGAAAGUGGUCAAAGAGUACCCCAUACAAUGACAAUCUCUACGCCCAACUUAGAGAUGGAACUCACAACCCUGAGAUCACGAGUCAUGUGUGCUCUACCAACUGAACCAGUACCAGCAGCCCAAGGGUAAAACUCUAUCUGCUUAAUAAUGAUCUUCCAAAGAUGUUAAUUCGUGUAUGUGCAUGUACAGAUGUAGGCCUUCCGAUAUCAAGAAAAAUAAACUUUUUAAUGCCUCGGAGAAUUCAUCAGGAACCUAAGUUAUCAUGAAUGUCAAAGGUUAUUUGAAAUGAAAAGCAUGAAGAACAUAAAACAACAUAAAUAUUCAAGUUUCAGGCUUGAAGUUGUUUCUUUGAAAAACUUCCUGAUGUCAACUUACGGUUUCACUUAUUUGGCAAAUAAUUG